rnacentral:rRNA from 1 species
UACGUAGGGGGCUAGCGUUGUCCGGAUUUAUUGGGCGUAAAGAGCGUGUAGGCGGCCAGGUAGGUCUGGUGUGAAAACUCGAGGCUUAACCUCGAGAUGUCAUCGGAAACCAUCUGGCUAGAGUCCGGAAGAGGAGAGUGGAAUUCCUGGUGUAGCGGUGAAAUGCGCAGAUAUCAGGAAGAACACUAAUGGCGAAAGCAGCUCUCUGGGACGGUACUGACGCUGAGACGCGAAAGCGUGGGGAGCGAACAGG